AAUAAGAAAUUCAUUCAUUCAUUCAGUUGCUUCGUCUCUCCACUCUCUAAUCUCCAAGUCUGAAGUUAAGCUCCCCAUGUAGAUCCUCUCCUCCUUAUCUUUACUGUUUUCUCUUUUUUUUUUUUUCUCUCAAAUGCGGAUAGAAGCUAAUAGAAACUAGCUUUUUCACUCAUGGGCUCUGUCACUGUAAAACCCUCAUUAAAUACUUUCUGUUUCAUUCCCGAGAGCCCCAAAAUUCGUUGUCAUUCGCCUCACUUCUCAUUCCUCAAACUCAGACCUUCCCCUGUUUCUUUCCCCUUUAAAUCUCCUUCUGAUCCAAUAAACUCAUCUCCCAAAUGUAAAAUUCGAAGCUUUAUGGUUAACCCUUUAUUGGUUUUAGUCCCAGUUUUGAGAAGCAUCAGAGGCUUGGCUUUUUCGCAUUCCCAAAAAUGGGCUUCACGUUUGCACGAUUGCAUUACAGAGUCGGAGGAAAUUUUAGACCAAUACAAUGGCAAUUGCUUGCAAAGUGGAGGUCUUGGGAUGGCUUUAUUGAGUGUAACAGCUAGCGCUAAAGUUCGGAUUAGUCCAUUCGUGGCGACAUUGGCGGCGAAUCCCACGUUUGUUUCUGGUUUGUUUGCAUGGUUCAUUGCUCAAUCGGUGAAGAUUUUUUUAAAUUUCUUUAUAGAGCGGAAAUGGGAUUUCCGGAUAUUGUUUGCUUCUGGUGGGAUGCCUUCUUCGCACUCGGCUUUGUGUACUGCUUUGACGACAUCGGUUGCCAUUUGUCAUGGAAUAGCGGACUCCCUGUUUCCUGUUUGUUUGGGGUUUAGUUUGAUUGUUAUGUACGACGCCAUUGGAGUUAGAAGGCAUGCGGGGAUGCAAGCUGCGGUUCUUGAAGCUGGUCUAUUAAGAUUUAAGAGGGCUGACUUGAUUUUCUGAACAUUAUCUUGGCAAGUUGUUGGUCCUGUUAUUAACAUGGCGAAAUUGUAAUUGUAACAGGGACAUAGGUCUUGGUUGUUUAGAGAAAAGGAAAAGGAGACUUGCAGGGUUCUAAAUAUGAUCGUUGAGGACCUAUUUCAAGGGCAUCCAAUUAGUCAAAGAAAACUCAAGGAACUUCUUGGCCACACACCGUCACAGGUCUUUGCUGGAGCUAUGCUUGGGAUUGUGGUAGCUUGUAUAUGCUGCCAAGGUUGCUUGACUACAACCUAGAAAUGCUUAUAGAGGUCUACAUCUGCAGUUGCCCUAUUCCCACAUAUGGGUUCCUAAUUUCUUCUUUCUUUUUUUCGCUCGAUACAAAUAUGACCUUAACUUGAAUGUAAGUUCCUCCCAUAAUUAUAUGCAACACCCCCCAAAACUCUAGUAGCUUGCCUUGAGAACUGUCAUUUGAUCUCUUUGUGGUUACUAACUUAUGUUGGAAUCGAGUCAUAAAACUUAAGGAACUUUCUGGCUAAACGCCAUCACAUGUCUUUGCUGGAGCUAUGCUUGGAAUUGUGGCGGCCUGUAUAUGCUGUCAAGGUUGUUCGGUUGCAGCAUAGAAAUGCUUCUGCAGGUAAUUUUUGGUAAUAUAAUUGGAACGGUGUUUCGCUAUUGUUUAAACCUGGCUCAAUUUUAUGGCCUUCUGAGCUUAUUGUACUCCACAUACUCUCAUUAACCAAAAACCUGAAGAUGUUCAACUUCUGCUCCCGUUUCGGUAACUUUCCCAGUUGUAAGUUAGAUUUGUUUUGUUCGUGAACUGGGUUACUUAUUCAAGUGUAAAGGUGUACCCAAAACAUGGUUGGGUUUGAGUGAAAA